rnacentral:rRNA from 1 species
UGGGGAAUAUUGCACAAUGGGCGAAAGCCUGAUGCAGCAACGCCGCGUGAAGGAAGAAGGUCUUCGGAUCGUAAACUUCUGUCCUUGGGGAAGAUAAUGACGGUACCCUUGGAGGAAGCCCCGGCUAACUACGUGCCAGCAGCCGCGGUAAUACGUAGGGGGCAAGCGUUAUCCGGAAUUAUUGGGCGUAAAGAGUGCGUAGGUGGUUACUUAAGCGCGGGGUUUAAGGCAAUGGCUCAACCAUUGUUCGCCCUGCGAACUGGGUUACUUGAGUGCAGGAGAGGAAAGCGGAAUUCCUAGUGUAGCGGUGAAAUGCGUAGAUAUUAGGAGGAACACCAGUGGCGAAGGCGGCUUUCUGGACUGUUACUGACACUGAGGCACGAAAGUGUGGGGAGCAAACAGG